AGUAGCGGCGAGCGAACGGGGAGGAGCCCAGAGCCUGAAUCAGUGUGUGUGUUAGUGGAAGCGUCUGGAAAGGCGUGCGAUACAGGGUGACAGCCCCGUACACAAAAAUGCACAUAUUGUGAGCUCGAUGAGUAGGGCGGGACACGUGGUAUCCUGUCUGAAUAUGGGGGGACCAUCCUCCAAGGCUAAAUACUCCUGACUGACCGAUAGUGAACCAGUACCGUGAGGGAAAGGCGAAAAGAACCCCGGCGAGGGGAGUGAAAAAGAACCUGAAACCGUGUACGUACAAGCAGUGGGAGCCUCUUAAUGGGGUGACUGCGUACCUUUUGUAUAAUGGGUCAGCGACUUAUAUUCUGUAGCAAGGUUAACCGAAUAGGGGAGCCGAAGGGAAACCGAGUCUUAACUGGGCGUUAAGUUGCAGGGUAUAGACCCGAAACCCGGUGAUCUAGCCAUGGGCAGGUUGAAGGUUGGGUAACACUAACUGGAGGACCGAACCGACUAAUGUUGAAAAAUUAGCGGAUGACUUGUGGCUGGGGGUGAAAGGCCAAUCAAACCGGGAGAUAGCUGGUUCUCCCCGAAAGCUAUUUAGGUAGCGCCUCGUGAAUUCAUCUCCGGGGGUAGAGCACUGUUUCGGCAAGGGGGUCAUCCCGACUUACCAACCCGAUGCAAACUGCGAAUACCGGAGAAUGUUAUCACGGGAGACACACGGCGGGUGCUAACGUCCGUCGUGAAGAGGGAAACAACCCAGACCGCCAGCUAAGGUCCCAAAGUCAUGGUUAAGUGGGAAACGAUGUGGGAAGGCCCAGACAGCCAGGAUGUUGGCUUAGAAGCAGCCAUCAUUUAAAGAAAGCGUAAUAGCUCACUGGUCGAGUCGGCCUGCGCGGAAGAUGUAACGGGGCUAAACCAUGCACCGAAGCUGCGGCAGCGACACUAUGUGUUGUUGGGUAGGGGAGCGUUCUGUAAGCCUGUGAAGGUGGCCUGUGAGGGUUGCUGGAGGUAUCAGAAGUGCGAAUGCUGACAUAAGUAACGAUAAAGCGGGUGAAAAGCCCGCUCGCCGGAAGACCAAGGGUUCCUGUCCAACGUUAAUCGGGGCAGGGUGAGUCGACCCCUAAGGCGAGGCCGAAAGGCGUAGUCGAUGGGAAACAGGUUAAUAUUCCUGUACUUGGUGUUACUGCGAAGGGGGGACGGAGAAGGCUAUGUUGGCCGGGCGACGGUUGUCCCGGUUUAAGCGUGUAGGCUGGUUUUCCAGGCAAAUCCGGAAAACCAAGGCUGAGGCGUGAUGACGAGGCACUACGGUGCUGAAGUGACAAAUGCCCUGCUUCCAGGAAAAGCCUCUAAGCAUCAGGUAACAUCAAAUCGUACCCCAAACCGACACAGGUGGUCAGGUAGAGAAUACCAAGGCGCUUGAGAGAACUCGGGUGAAGGAACUAGGCAAAAUGGUGCCGUAACUUCGGGAGAAGGCACGCUGAUAUGUAGGUGAAGCGACUUGCUCGUGGAGCUGAAAUCAGUCGAAGAUACCAGCUGGCUGCAACUGUUUAUUAAAAACACAGCACUGUGCAAACACGAAAGUGGACGUAUACGGUGUGACGCCUGCCCGGUGCCGGAAGGUUAAUUGAUGGGGUUAGCGGUAACGCGAAGCUCUUGAUCGAAGCCCCGGUAAACGGCGGCCGUAACUAUAACGGUCCUAAGGUAGCGAAAUUCCUUGUCGGGUAAGUUCCGACCUGCACGAAUGGCGUAAUGAUGGCCAGGCUGUCUCCACCCGAGACUCAGUGAAAUUGAACUCGCUGUGAAGAUGCAGUGUACCCGCGGCAAGACGGAAAGACCCCGUGAACCUUUACUAUAGCUUGACACUGAACAUUGAGCCUUGAUGUGUAGGAUAGGUGGGAGGCUUUGAAGUGUGGACGCCAGUCUGCAUGGAGCCGACCUUGAAAUACCACCCUUUAAUGUUUGAUGUUCUAACGUUGGCCCGUAAUCCGGGUUGCGGACAGUGUCUGGUGGGUAGUUUGACUGGGGCGGUCUCCUCCUAAAGAGUAACGGAGGAGCACGAAGGUUGGCUAAUCCUGGUCGGACAUCAGGAGGUUAGUGCAAUGGCAUAAGCCAGCUUGACUGCGAGCGUGACGGCGCGAGCAGGUGCGAAAGCAGGUCAUAGUGAUCCGGUGGUUCUGAAUGGAAGGGCCAUCGCUCAACGGAUAAAAGGUACUCCGGGGAUAACAGGCUGAUACCGCCCAAGAGUUCAUAUCGACGGCGGUGUUUGGCACCUCGAUGUCGGCUCAUCACAUCCUGGGGCUGAAGUAGGUCCCAAGGGUAUGGCUGUUCGCCAUUUAAAGUGGUACGCGAGCUGGGUUUAGAACGUCGUGAGACAGUUCGGUCCCUAUCUGCCGUGGGCGCUGGAGAACUGAGGGGGGCUGCUCCUAGUACGAGAGGACCGGAGUGGACGCAUCACUGGUGUUCGGGUUGUCAUGCCAAUGGCACUGCCCGGUAGCUAAAUGCGGAAGAGAUAAGUGCUGAAAGCAUCUAAGCACGAAACUUGCCCCGAGAUGAGUUCUCCCUGACUCCUUGAGGGUCCUGAAGGAACGUUGAAGACGACGACGUUGAUAGGCCGGGUGUGUAAGCGCAGCGAUGCGUUGAGCUAACCGGUACUAAUGAACCGUGAGGCUUAACCUU
rnacentral:rRNA from 1 species